rnacentral:rRNA from 1 species
CAGUCGCCACGGUAAUACGAAGGGGGCUAGCGUUGCUCGGAAUUACUGGGCGUAAAGCGUGCGCAGGCGGUUUGUUAAGACAGAUGUGAAAUCCCCGGGCUCAACCUGGGAACUGCAUUUGUGACUGGCAAGCUAGAGUGUGGCAGAGGGGGGUGGAAUUCCGCGUGUAGCAGUGAAAUGCGUAGAUAUGCGGAGGAACACCGAUGGCGAAGGCAGCCCCCUGGGCCAACACUGACGCUCAUGCACGAAAGCGUGGGGAGCAAACAGGAUUAGAUACCCCAGUAGUCCCUGUCUCUUAUAC